rnacentral:rRNA from 1 species
CCUAAGGUAGCGAAAUUCCUUGUCGGGUAAGUUCCGACCCGCACGAAAGGCGUAAUGAUUUGGGCACUGUCUCAACAAUGCACCCGGUGAAAUUGAAAUACCAGUGAAGAUGCUGGUUACCUGCGCCAGGACGGAAAGACCCCAUGGAGCUUUACUCCAGCUUGAUACUGGGAUUCGGUACUGCAUGUACAGGAUAGGUGGGAGGCCGUGAAGCAAGGACGCCAGUCUUUGUGGAGCCAAUGUUGGGAUACCACCCUUGCGGUAUUGGGUUUCUAACCUGCGCCCAUGACCUGGGCGGGGGACAAUGUCAGGUGGGGAGUUUGACUGGGGCGGUCGCCUCCGAAAGGGUAUCGGAGGCGCUCAAAGGUUCCCUCAGAAUGGUUGGAAACCAUUCGAAGAGUGCAAAGGCAGAAGGGAGCUUGACUGCGACACCGACGGGUGGAGCAGGUACGAAAGUAGGACUUAGUGAUCCGGUGGUAUAAAGUGGGAUUGCCAUCGCUCAACGGAUAAAAGCUACCCUGGGGAUAACAGGCUUAUCACUCCCAAGAGUUCACAUCGACGGAGUGGUUUGGCACCUCGAUGUCGGCUCAUCGCAUCCUGGGGCUGAAGUAGGUCCCAAGGGUUGGGCUGUUCGCCCAUUAAAGCGGUACGCGAGCUGGGUUCAGAACGUCGUGAGACAGUUCGGUCCCUAUCCGGCGUGGGCGUAAGAUAUUUGAGAGGAGCUGUCCUUAGUACGAGAGGACCGGGAUGGACUGGCCGCUGGUGUAUCUGUUGUCUUACCAAAGGCAUAGCAGAGUAGCCAAGCCGGGAAGGGAUAAACGCUGAAGGCAUCUAAGCGUGAAGCCCCCCUCAAGAUGAGAUAUCUCAUAACGUCAAGUUAGUAAGACCCCUUGAAGACGACGAGGUAGAUAGGGCAGAGGUGGAAGUGUGGUAACACAUGGAGCUGACUGUUACUAAUAGGUCGAGGGCAUAACCAA